UACGUAGGGUGCAAGCGUUGUCCGGAAUUAUUGGGCGUAAAGAGCUCGUAGGCGGCCUGUCGCGUCGGAUGUGAAAAUCCAAGGCUCAACCUUUGGACCUGCAUUCGAUACGGGCAGGCUAGAGUUUCGGUAGGGGAGACUGGAAUUCCUGGUGUAGCGGUGAAAUGCGCAGAUAUCAGGAGGAACACCGGUGGCGAAGGCGGGUCUCUGGGCCGAUACUGACGCUGAGGAGCGAAAGCGUGGGUAGCAAACAGG
rnacentral:rRNA from 1 species